rnacentral:rRNA from 1 species
AGUGAACGCUGGCGGUAGGCCUAACACAUGCAAGUCGAACGGCAGCACGGGAGAGCUUGCUCUCUGGGUGGCGAGUGGCGGACGGGUGAGGAAUACAUCGGAAUCUACCUUUUCGUGGGGGAUAACGUAGGGAAACUUACGCUAAUACCGCAUACGACCUACGGGUGAAAGUGGGGGACCGCAAGGCCUCACGCGAUUAGAUGAGCCGAUGUCCGAUUAGCUAGUUGGCGGGGUAAUGGCCCACCAAGGCGACGAUCGGUAGCUGGUCUGAGAGGAUGAUCAGCCACACUGGAACUGAGACACGGUCCAGACUCCUACGGGAGGCAGCAGUGGGGAAUAUUGGACAAUGGGCGCAAGCCUGAUCCAGCCAUACCGCGUGGGUGAAGAAGGCCUUCGGGUUGUAAAGCCCUUUUGUUGGGAAAGAAAUCCUGUCGAUUAAUACUCGGUGGGGAUGACGGUACCCAAAGAAUAAGCACCGGCUAACUUCGUG